rnacentral:rRNA from 1 species
GACAGAGGGUGCAAACGUUGCUCGGAAUCACUGGGCGUAAAGGGCGUGUAGGCGGGAGGAUAAGUCGGGCGUGAAAUCCCUGGGCUCAACCCAGGAACUGCACUCGAAACUGCCCUUCUUGAGUACCGGAGAGGAAAGUGGAAUUCCUGGUGUAGAGGUGAAAUUCGUAGAUAUCGGGAGGAACACCAGUGGCGAAGGCGGCGACCUGGGCCAAUACUGACGCUGAGGUGCGAAAGCGUGGGGAGCAAACAGG